rnacentral:lncRNA from 1 species
AAAGUGUUUGGGUGCACAAAACUUUUAAUACAAUGUAGAUGCCAUUGACUGCCAAUUACUUGUAAAAUAUCAGUAAUUUUCAACAAUGAAACUGAGUGACCACAUUCGUGUGAUGAGAGCAUGGCUUGACAAUGAUGAUGAUAACAACCAAUCAACUGAAUAACAAAUAUGGGUGUUGAGGGAUAUCCUACGAACCAUAAUUUAACCA